AUCCUAGUGCAUGGGUUUUUUCCUGCUCUGUGAAGCAAUAAGCUGAGAGAGGAAUUUUGCUGAUUGAAAGCCUCCUAUUCUUUCAUCAAAACCACCAGCUCUAUACUGGGUUCGCCUGGUAUAGGAAUUUUUGGAACCUUUUUACUGAC
rnacentral:snRNA from 2 species